GACGAACGCUGGCGGCGUGCUUAACACAUGCAAGUCGAACGGAAAGGCCCUGCUUUUGUGGGGUGCUCGAGUGGCGAACGGGUGAGUAACACGUAAGUAACCUGCCCUUGACUUUGGGAUAACUUCAGGAAACUGGGGCUAAUACCGGAUAGGAGCUCCUGCUGCAUGGUGGGGGUUGGAAAGUUUCGGCGGUUGGGGAUGGACUCGCGGCUUAUCAGCUUGUUGGUGGGGUAGUGGCUUACCAAGGCUUUGACGGGUAGCCGGCCUGAGAGGGUGGCCGGCCACAUUGGGACUGAGAUACGGCCCAGACUCCUACGGGAGGCAGCAGUGGGGAAUAUUGCACAAUGGGCGGAAGCCUGAUGCAGCAACGCCGCGUGCGUGAUGACGGCCUUCGGGUUGUAAACCGCUUUCGCCUUUGACGAAGCGUGAGUGACGGUAAUGGGUAAAGAAGCACCGGCUAACUACGUG
rnacentral:rRNA from 1 species